GAUGAACGCUGGCGGCGUGCCUAAUACAUGCAAGUCGAGCGAACAGACGAGGAGCUUGCUCCUCUGACGUUAGCGGCGGACGGGUGAGUAACACGUGGAUAUCCUACCUAUAAGACUGGGAUAACUUCGGGAAACCGGAGCUAAUACCGGAUAAUAUAUUGAACCGCAUGGUUCAAUAGUGAAAGACGGUUUUGCUGUCACUUAUAGAUGGAUCCGCGCCGCAUUAGCUAGUUGGUAAGGUAACGGCUUACCAAGGCAACGAUGCGUAGCCGACCUGAGAGGGUGAUCGGCCACACUGGAACUGAGACACGGUCCAGACUCCUACGGGAGGCAGCAGUAGGGAAUCUUCCGCAAUGGGCGAAAGCUUGACGGAGCAACGCCGCGUGAGUGAUGAAGGUCUUCGGAUCGUAAAACCCUGUUAUUAGGGAAGAACAAAUGUGUAAGUAACUAUGCACGUCUUGACGGUACCUAAUCAGAAAGCCACGGCUAACUACGUG
rnacentral:rRNA from 1 species